rnacentral:lncRNA from 1 species
GUUUAUUUUCGCGGUUGGUAGCGGCGCUGGCGCUGGUUAGAGGUUCGCCGCUGACGUGAGCGCCCGAGUUGGGGGAGAGGACCAGAACCACCUGCUGGAGAAAGGGAGCUACGGGGACCGGGCAGGGUCCAAACGCCUCACGUAGGCGGCGGCGCCACGGUCUUCGGGGUCACAGGGAAGAGAAGGGCUCUCCUCAAGCGGGUGGAAGGAGGGAGGCCUCCCGAGGGAAUGAGACUCUAGGCCACUCCCCCGCAGCAAGGCAGGAUCACCUGCGUCGCGGAGAGCGGUUAGAGGGCCCUGGAGUGGAAAAGGGCAGUGGGACCUGGUAGCUUGGGUUCCCUGCAACUUGGGGUUCGACCUCCAGGCAAUGAAGUAGGGAUGGUCCUGCAAGCCAAGAUUCCAGUAGCAAGACUUCAUCACAUCUCUGUCGUAGUGGACUAAUUUUACAGGCGAAGUUAAGUGACUUACCCAAAACCUCACAGCUAAUAAACGGCAGAGCCGGCACCCAGCUGUACUGGCUUCCAGCGCAUCCCAUUAUCUCCAUAAAUCCUCCUGAUUCAACUAAUAUUAGACGCCCCACAGCUGGACCCUGGACACGGUGACUCUGAUUCAAUUAUGCAGAUGACCACAAGCCUCUGGGGUUGGCAGAGCCACAAGAAAGAAGGUGCCUGGAUGAAGGAGAGCUACCCACUGACCUGGACACCCAAUUAUGUCAUAGGUGCUGCAAUCUAGAGACAAAAUAUUCCUUACACUGGCAGAUACUUGCAAACUAAGGGGAACGAGCUUCCUUCUGAAUGUUUAUGAAGGAGAGACCACUGUGAGGAUAGACAGUGAAGUGCAACUACAGCCCGCAAAUGAAAAUGAAUAAAAUUAAUCCAGCCCCUCAAGGCAGUCAUCUGUCUUAGAGCUAUUGGAAUCCUGGAUCACUGUGGGAAAUGAAAGGAACUGGUUUUUAGCAAGGAGACCAAGAAACUCUACUCCCUAGGGGCUAGCAAUGAGAGAAAGGAAGCCUUGAGUCUUUGAGCACAGGGUGACAGUUUGGGUCCUAUGUGAGAUGAUCAAAUCCACAGCAACAGAGGAAAGGACAAAAGGAAAAGGUCUGUAGCAGCACUACAUCAGAAAAAAUGGAUUCAGCAAGGAAGUGGGUGACUCUGAGUAAGCAUGCAUGUCAGGAUGGUUUUGCUACAGCCCCCAACCAAACAUUAAUUAGUUUAAGAAACUCAACUUUGGUUUACAAGUGUUUUGGAAAAGUAACAAAGAACAACCUAAGUAACAAAAUAAUUCCUCAGGUCAUUACAAUGGAUGUUUCCUAUAACUGAAAAAUAUGGUUAAAAAGUACAAACUAC